UUUAGUAGCUGUUUUUCAAUUUGAUCUUCGAUUUGGAGGCUUAUGAUCAGCAUCUUAAUAUGAUUAUUGGUGAUGUUGAAGAAAUUGUUACCACUGUUGAAAUUGAUGAUGAGACAUAUGAAGAAAUUGUUAGGGUAAGCACUUUUUAUUUACUCAAUUCUUAGGAUAGUUUUCUUGAUCAACAUACAGGUGGCACAAAGAUUGAAACAACAAGGCCACAUGGCUGAUUGACAUUGAUUACUAUUUGUUACAACAGUUUCAACAGAAAUCAAGUGAAGCUUUAAAGGAUGAUCCUACAAGCUCACUCUUGAUACCUUGCAUCUUAGGAGAUGAGAUAUAUUUGGCAAUGAAGAAAAUAAUAGGUCUUGUGUCCUCCUGAUACAUACAUAAGUAAUUAGGCUUGUUCCAUACCAUAAAUCUAUGGUUUUUAUGCUAAGAUUGAAUAGCACUUGAAAAUAGCUAGGCUUUAUCUUGCUGGUUUCAUGUUUCUAAUAUGUUAGCUUGAAAUGCCCCACAUUUUUUAUUCAUGUAUAUGUGUAACUAACUUCCGUUA